AUACGUAGGUGACAAGCGUUAUCCGGAUUUACUGGGCGUAAAGGGCGUGUAGGCGGUCUUGCAAGUCAGAAGUGAAAUUCCUGAGCUCAACUCGGGCGCUGCUUCUGAAACUGCAGGACUUGAGUGCUGGAGGGGAUAGCGGAAGUCCUAGUGGAGCGGUAAAAUGCGCAGAUAUUAGGAAGAACACCAGUGGCGAAGGCGGGUAACUGGACUGCAACUGACGCUGAGGCGCGAAAGUGUGGGGAGCAAACAGGAUUAGAUACCCUGGUAGUCCACACUGUAAACGAUGAAUGCUAGGUGUAAGAGGUAUCGACCCCUUUUGUGCCGGAGUUAACACAAUAAGCAUUCCGCCUGGGGAGUACGGCCGCAAGGUUGAAACUCAAAGGAAUUGACGGGG
rnacentral:rRNA from 1 species